CGAAAACCAGAUAUAGAAUGGUACAAGAAUGGCGACUCUAUUCGCAAAUCGACGAAGCCAAAUCAAGAAAUAAGCCAAAAUAACACGAUAUUGAAAAUCAAGGACUGUACAGAAAGUGAUUCCGCAAAGUAUAUUUGUGAAAUAUCAGAAACAAAGAUCAUUCCAGGGUUCGGCUCAUCGAUCACCGCUGCAAGGCUCCGUUACAUAGUUCAUUUGGAUAGUGAUCCAUGGUAUUCCAAUUAUUGGUUACAUUUAAUAUCUGUAUCAAUAUUGAUUGGGCUUUUGCUGGCUGGUUUUGUCAUUUAUCAAAUUCAACGAAAGAAAGUGAGAACACGCGAUUCAAAAAAUAAAGUGCCCGAAAAAAUCAAUGUUAUGAUAGCAUAAUUAAAUUGCUCAACUGCAAUUGUAAGUGCUUCUGAAUAUUGUCUCAUCGAAAAUAAGAUGUCAUUUCUUGAACAGGAAACUAUUUCGAAUUCCAAUGUACAAAUUUUUAAAAAAUAAAAUCAU